AAAUUCCUAUAGGAAUUUUUCCUAUAGGAAUUCCUUAUAGGAAUUCCUAUAGGAAAAAUUCCUAAAGGAAAAAUU